rnacentral:lncRNA from 1 species
AUCCCGGCGCUGCCCACCCACCACACCGCUAGCGCCUCUGAACCUCGCCAGGCACGUCCGGUUCUGCGGCCCCCACUCCGCCCCCGCCUGCCGGGAGCCGCGCAGUUACAAAGUGCCGGGAGCCGUGCAGGGCCAGUGAACCCCUCGCUGAGACUCAGUUUGCUGCCAUCACAAGUGCUCUGAGAAUCCUGGAGAGGGAGGAUAUUGGAGACAAACGGGACUGCUGCCCGCCUUUUAGGCGACCGUUGGAGGCUGCUCUGUGCCGGACACAGGCAGGGAAAAUGUCAGCCCCGCGAGGGAAAUGGCAAAGGGAAGAUGACAGCAGACGAGAGAAACAACAGCCCCACCUGACACAGCCAGGACCCUGCGGAGAGGCGGCAGGAGCCCCCACUUCCUCGGGACUCAGCCUCUGCACCCCGGGACUGCCCAUGGCCCCUCUGAGGGCUCUCCUCACUCCUUCCUCCCUCAUUAGGGAAGAGGCCAGUACCCAGCAGCCAUGGCCCAAGCGCAGGUGGUCUGUUCUGUGCACCCAGCAUCCCCCUAGGGUCUAAACCAGGUAUGGGGCUGAAAUGGGAGAGGCAGAGAAGGUUGGCAGAGAGGCCUGGGGUGACGGAGGAGGAGUGGGCUGCUGGGCUCUGUUCCGGGCAUGCUUUGGUGUCUCUCUCUCAAGAACCCAGAUCCUAUUAUGAGGACACGGAAGCCCAGAGGGUUCAAGUGACAGCCCCAAGGUCACAGGCAUGGGCGAGCUGGGCUAGUGGCUCCGGUGUGUUGGAGCAUGAGGCUCUGGCAGCAUUGAUGCCACCUUUGCCCCCACACCCAUCCUCAGGGUUAGUGCCCAAGUUGGGGGUGAAACCUGGCCAGCUUCAGUCCACUGACUUUUCAGCAUCCCUUCCUGAGGCUUAGAAACUUCUUUGUCUUUUGGAAAACAAACUCUUUCUGUGCAAGAAACUCCACUCAAUUCUUGGGCAGUGUGACCCCAGUCUUUUUAGUCAGAAGUGUCACUUCCUCUGCUACCCACCAAAGAGGGGGUGUGGCCAGCCGAACAGUCCCCAAACCAGGGGUGGUACCCCCUGCGCCUCAAUAAGAAAAUGAGUGUGGCCAGGAGGGGAACUGGAUGAGAGUGAGAAAUCACCCAUCUGUGAGAAGAGAGGCCUCAUCACCGGGGAGAGAGCGCAGAGUCAGCUUCAGUAGUGACUGGGACAGAGAGAGAGUCCUGUGGCUGUGUGAUAUCAGACAAAGUCACCCAGGGACAGCUGCACAGGUGUCAGUUGCUUUGGUCUUACAAAGAACCAGAAGAAAGCUAUGCUUCAAAGAGAACUGGGUCCACUCUGAUCCCAAGCCUUUCUUCUAGCCCAGGUCCUGAUACAGCACCCACCCACCACCAACGUCCAGGGCUCCUUGCCAUCCCUACCAGCACGUGCUUCUGCUGCCCAACUCCCUCGACUCUUUCCUACCCAUCCAGGGUCCCUGGCCUCUGCUCAGGCACAGAGAAUGCCCCCAUUCCUCAAAUGCAUGUCAGUGUGUGUGCACGUGUACAUGACAGGGCACGUGUGGUCAUUUAGAGAUGUGCACAUUCCUUAACCCAUUGAAAGUCUUGGCAUGGGUUGUGGCCUCGCAGGAGAGCUGUGAGUUCAUGGCAAAGGGGGAGAUGGGGUGGAGCUACCAGGGUGAAAGUGGCAACGGGCCACAAAGCCCUUUGCUGGGAUUUUUGGCUCAGACAAACUCAGGGAAGGCUACUCUGUGGGGCCUGCCAGUCCUGGGACCCCCCACUGUACCUCAAGCCCACCUGGGUCACAGCACUGAUGGCUGACCAGUGUUCCUUGGUCCCAUGUAUCCUGCCCUGUGACCCCGAGCUCAUUUGCCUAAGAUGCAUUGAGGAUUACCAAUCCCAGUGCCCUCCAAUUCUCCCUCUCCACUCAUCCCAGGCGCCAGGCUCUGUGCCAAGCCCAGGUCAUGUUCCCAGUUUUGAACACAACUCUGUGGCCCUGACUUGAAUUUCUACCUCUGUAUCCUCCCAUCAAGUCUGUGGCCCACUCCUCUCCCUUACAGCUCCCACAGCUCAGAAGUCAGCGGAGCAGAGUCCCCAGGAAACCAGGGUCAGGGAUGGAGGCUGCUGAGGAGCGGGUCUGGGAGGUGGAGGCCAGAUACAAGAAAACCACAGUACCAGUAAAUGACAAAGGCUGGAUCUUAACCCAAGUCCUCCGACUCUGAAGGCCAUACCCAACAGCUUGACAGCAAAGUGUUUGAAAACGAAGAGCAGGAAUUCCGCGGUUCCUGCCCGGCCUCGC